rnacentral:misc_RNA from 1 species
GAUGAAGAACGCAGUGAAAUGCGAUACGUAGUGUGAAUUGCAGAAUUCAGUGAAUCAUCGAAUCUUUGAACGCACAUUGCACCUCUCGGUAUUCCGGGAGGUAUGCCUGUUCGAGCGUCAUUUGUACCCUCGAGCUCUGCUUGGUGUUGGGUGUUUGUUCCGCCUCUGUGUGUGAACUCGCCUCAAAACAAUUGGCAGCCGGCGUACUUGUUUCGGAGCGCAGCACAUUUUGCGAUCCAGAUCAACGUACAGCGGCAUCCAAGAAGCCUUAUUUAACGCUCUUGACCUCGGAUCAGGUAGGGAUACCCGCUGAACUUAAGCAUAUCAAUAAGCGGAGGA